CAGUAGCCGCGGUAAGACGGAGGGUGCUAGCGUUGUUCGGAAUCACUGGGCGUAAAGGGCGCGUAGGCGGCCUGUUAAGUCGGAUGUGAAAGCCCUGGGCUCAACCUGGGAACUGCAUCCAAAACUGGUGAGCUAGAGUACGGUAGAGGGUAGUGGAAUUUCCUGUGUAGCGGUGAAAUGCGUAGAUAUAGGAAGGAACACCAGUGGCGAAGGCGACUACCUGGACUGAUACUGACACUGAGGUGCGAAAGCGUGGGGAGCAAACAGGAUUAGAUACCCCAGUAGUCCCUGUCUCUUAUAC
rnacentral:rRNA from 1 species